rnacentral:rRNA from 1 species
AGAGUUUGAUCAUGGCUCAGAGCGAACGCUGGCGGCAGGCCUAACACAUGCAAGUCGAGCGGCCGUAGCAAUACGGCAGCGGCAGACGGGAGAGUAACACGUGGGAACGCGCCCUUCGGUUCGGGAUAACCCAGGGAAACUUGGGCUAAUACCGGAUACGCCCUUACGGGGAAAGAUUUAUUGCCGAAGGAACGGCCCGCGUCCGAUUAGCUAGUUGGUGAGGUAAUGGCUCACCAAGGCGACGAUCGGUAGCUGGUCUGAGAGGAUGACCAGCCUCACUGGGACUGAGACACGGCCCAGACUCCUACGGGAGGCAGCAGUGGGGAAUAUUGGACAAUGGGCGCAAGCCUGAUCCAGCCAUGCCGCGUGGGUGAUGAAGGCCCUAGGGUUGUAAAGCCCUUUCAGCGGGGAAGAUAAUGACGGUACCCGCAGAAGAAGCCCCGGCUAACUUCGUGCCAGCAGCCGCGGUAAUACGAAGGGGGCUAGCGUUGCUCGGAAUUACUGGGCGUAAAGCGCACGUAGGCGGCUUUCUAAGUCGGGGGUGAAAUCCUGGAGCUCAACUCCAGAACUGCCUUCGAUACUGGAGAGCUCGAGUCCGGGAGAGGUGAGUGGAACUGCGAGUGUAGAGGUGAAAUUCGUAGAUAUUCGCAAGAACACCAGUGGCGAAGGCGGCUCACUGGCCCGGUACUGACGCUGAGGUGCGAAAGCGUGGGGAGCAAACAGGAUUGGAUACCCUGGUAGUCCACGCCGUAAACGAUGGAUGCUAGCCGUUGGCGAGCUUGCUCGUCAGUGGCGCAGCUAACGCUUUAAGCAUCCCGCCUGGGGAGUACGGUCGCAAGAUUAAAACUCAAAGGAAUUGACGGGGCCCGCACAAGCGGUGGAGCAUGUGGUUCAAUUCGAAGCAACGCGCAGAACCUUACCAGCCCUUGACAUGUCCUCUAU